rnacentral:lncRNA from 1 species
GCCAGGCUUCUGAGGUCCUGGAGACCCACAGCUAGGCUGGGAGCAGGAUGGCUGCUGUGAAGGUGGUAGCUGCGGAAGAAGUGGUGGCAGUGGUCACAGCCCUGGGAGAGAUGAAGGGGUCUACAUGGGCCAGCACUGAGACCUGUCAUGGAGGCCAACAGGAAUCCCCAUCCCUGGAGCCGUCUGCUGUCUCUUCCAGGGCAUGUUGAGAUGCCGUGUGAAUCCAGGUAUGAGUGGGUGUGGAGAACUUGACAGCCAUUUUCAUAAAAGAGAGAUUCUCUCACUGCCUUCUCACCCCAGUGCGCAAGAAUCCCAAAGAGAGUGAAACAGCAAAGAAAGAAAAGAAGAGAGAGCAUGGAGAAGUCCCACCUAAGAAUUUGUUCAGCUUAUACAAUUGCAAAAAGUGUGUGUGUGUGUCCGCACUGCUGUUGAAUAUCGGCUAUUUCUACUCCUUACAUAAGACUAACGGAUGGGGUAAAAUCUGCUGAGUGUAUCAAAGACCCAUUUUUAAUUCAUAGUGGGUUGGAAAAAUAAAACUUACUUUUUUGAGAGAGAAAUCUACAAGGAGUUUUUGGAAGCCAACCAGUUUAAUAAGCACAGGCU